GGAAGUAGCUCAGUGGUAGAGCCCAUGCAUAGCAUGCAUGAGGUCCUGGGUUCAAUCCCUAGUACCUCCC
rnacentral:tRNA from 1 species